CUAUCUCCGUCUCUCUCCCUGUUUCUCCAUUUUUCUUUCUUUCCUUCUCUCUCCUUCCUUCCUUCCAUCUUUCUUCUUUCCCUUCCUUUUAUUCUUCUAUUUUCGUUUCUUUUCAAGGUUUUUUUUAAAGCCAUGAUGCAAUUUCUUUGGUAUUCACCGUUGUCCCAAAACUUGAAGCAAGCCUCAAGAUAGGAGAAAGCACCGCGGAUCUCCCUCUCACCCCAGGCUCGGGGCGCAGAAGAUGGAGAGAAGAUUCCACUCUCCCCGGAGCAGAUAGGGACGGUCGCGCCAGCCAAUCAGAGCGCGGCUCGGCGCCGGCGC
rnacentral:lncRNA from 1 species